GCUCGCUCUCCGACGGUAACUCACUUCUCCAGCCGCCACCAUUGACAAUACUAACCUCCGCAUUCAAUCUGAUGACCAGUUUCCUCCAGUCCCAGGUUCCAGAACUAUUUCCCCUGACCCCUCUUCCUUUCACCAAAAUAAAUAUUAUUGUUGUUUCA